UACGGAGGGUGCAAGCGUUAUCCGGAUUUACUGGGUUUAAAGGGUGCGUAGGUGGGCCUGUAAGUCAGUGGUGAAGUCUUCAAGCUUAACUUGGAAACUGCCAUUGAUACUAUAGGUCUUGAAUUAUCUGGAGGUAAGCGGAAUAUGUCAUGUAGCGGUGAAAUGCUUAGAGAUGACAUAGAACACCCAUUGCGAAGGCAGCUUACUACGGAUUGAUUGACACUGAGGCACGAAAGCGUGGGGAUCAAACAGG
rnacentral:rRNA from 1 species